AACGAACGCUGGCGGCAGGCCUAACACAUGCAAGUCGAGCGAAGCCUUCGGGCUUAGCGGCGGACGGGUGAGUAACGCGUGGGAACGUGCCCUUCUCUGCGGAAUAGCCACUGGAAACGGUGAGUAAUACCGCAUACGCCUUCGGGGAAGAUUAUCGGAGAAGGAUCGCCGCGUUAGAUUAGUAGUUGUGGGGUAACGGCCUACCAAGCCUACGAUCUAUAGCUGGUUUGAGAGGAUGAUCAGCCACACUGGGACUGAGACACGGCCCAGACUCCUACGGGAGGCAGCAGUGAGGAAUCUUGGACAAUGGGGAAACCCUGAUCCAGCCAUGCCGCGUGAACGAUGAAGGCCUUAGGGUUGUAAAGUUCUUUCGCCUGGGAAGAUAAUGACGGUACCAGGUAAAGAAGCCCCGGUAACU
rnacentral:rRNA from 1 species